rnacentral:rRNA from 1 species
GAUGAACGCUGGCGGCGUGCCUAAUACAUGCAAGUCGAGCGAACGGACGAGAAGCUUGCUUUUCUGAUGUUAGCGGCGGACGGGUGAGUAACACGUGGAUAACCUACCUAUAAGACUGGGAUAACUUCGGGAAACCGGCUCUAAUACCGGAUAAUAUUUUGAACCGCAUGGUUCAAAAGUGAAAGACGGUCUUUCUGUCACUUAUAGAUGGAUCCGCGCUGCAUUAGCUAGUUGGUAAGGUAACGGCUUACCAAGGCAACGAUGCAUAGCCGACCUGAGAGGGUGAUCGGCCACACUGGAACUGAGACACGGUCCAGACGCCUACGGGAGGCAGCAGUAGGGAAUCUUACGCAAUGGGCGAAAGCCUGACGGAGCAACGCCGCGUGAGUGAUGAAGGUCUUCGGAUCGUAAAACUCUGUUAUUAGGGAAGAACAUAUGUGUAAGUAACUGUGCACAUCGUGACGGUACCUAAUCAGAAAGCCACGGCUAACUACGUG